rnacentral:rRNA from 1 species
GAGUCCGCGUUUCAUUAGCUAGUUGGUAAGGUAACGGCUUACCAAGGCGACGAUCAGUAGCCGACCUGAGAGGGUGAUCGGCCACACUGGAACUGAGACACGGUCCAGACUCCUACGGGAGGCAGCAGUGGGGAAUAUUGCACAAUGGGCGCAAGCCUGAUGCAGCAACGCCGCGUGAGUGAUGAAGGCCUUCGGGUUGUAAAACUCUGUCCUAUGGGAAGAAACAAAUGACGGUACCAUAGGAGGAAGCCCCGGCUAACUACGUGCCAGCAGCCGCGGUAAUACGUAGGGGGCAAGCGUUAUCCGGAAUCACUGGGCGUAAAGGGUGCGCAGGCGGCUUAUCAAGCCAGGGGUGAAAGGCAUUGGCUCAACCAAUGUAAGCCUUUGGAACUGAUAGGCUUGAGUGCAGAAGAGGUAAGUGGAAUUCCUAGUGUAGAGGUGAAAUUCGUAGAUAUUAGGAGGAACACCAGUGGCGAAGGCGACUUACUGGACUGUAACUGACGCUGAGGCACGAAAGCGUGGGUAGCGAACAGGAUUAGAUACCCUGGUAGUCCACGCCGUAAACGAUG